rnacentral:rRNA from 1 species
CUACGGGCGGCACCAGUGGGGAAUAUUGCACAAUGGAGGAAACUCUGCUGCAGCAACGCCGCGUGGAGGCUGACACUUUUCGGAGCGUAAACUCCUUUUAUAUAGGAAGAAGAUGACGGUACUAUAUGAAUAAGCGCCGGCUAACUCCGUGCCAGCAGCCGCGGUAAUACGGAGGGCGCAAGCGUUACUCGGAAUCACUGGGCGUAAAGAGCGUGUAGGCGGAUUAAAAAGUCAGAAGUGAAAUCCUAUAGCUUAACUAUAGAACUGCUUCUGAAACUCUUAAUCUAGAAUAUGGGAGAGGUAGAUGGAAUUUCUGGUGUAGGGGUAAAAUCCGUAGAGAUCAGAAGGAAUACCGAUUGCGAAGGCGAUCUAAUAGAACAAUAUUGACGCUGAGACGCGAAAGCGUGGGGAGAAAACAGGAUUAGAUACCCUAGUAGUC